UGGGGAAUUUUGGACAAUGGGCGCAAGCCUGAUCCAGCCAUACCGCGUGAGUGAAGAAGGCCUUCGGGUUGUAAAGCUCUUUCAGACGGAAAGAAACGGUUUACGGCUAAUACCCGUGACUAAUGACGGUACCGUAAGAAGAAGCACCGGCUAACUACGUGCCAGCAGCCGCGGUAAUACGUAGGGUGCGAGCGUUAAUCGGAAUUACUGGGCGUAAAGCGUGCGCAGGCGGUUUGGUAAGACAGAUGUGAAAUCCCCGGGCUUAACCUGGGAACUGCAUUUGUGACUGCCAGACUAGAGUGUAGCAGAGGGGGGUAGAAUUCCACGUGUAGCAGUGAAAUGCGUAGAUAUGUGGAGGAAUACCGAUGGCGAAGGCAGCCCCCUGGGCUAACACUGACGCUCAUGCACGAAAGCGUGGGGAGCAAACAGGAUUAGAUACCCUUGUAGUCCCUGAGCGGGCUGGCAAGGCGCAU
rnacentral:rRNA from 1 species